AUACGGAGGGUGCAAGCGUUAUUCGGAAUCACGGGGCGUAAAGGACGCGUAGGCGGGUUGGCAAGUCAGAUGUGAAAUCCUACAGCUUAACUGUAGAACUGCAUUUGAAACUGCUAACCUAGAGUAUGGGAGGGGGAGAUGGAAUUAGUGGUGUAGGGGUAAAAUCCGUAGAUAUCACUAGGAAUACCGAAAGCGAAGGCGAUCUCCUGGAACAUAACUGACGCUAAGGUGUGAAAGCGUGGGGAGCAAACAGGAUUAGAAACCCUAGUAGUCC
rnacentral:rRNA from 1 species